rnacentral:tRNA from 1 species
AGCGGAAUGACGAGCAAUUGGAAGCUCACUUUGUUUAUAAUCAAGAGUAUGUAGGUUCGAGUCCUAUUUCCGCAA